CCUACGGGGUGCAGCAGUGGGGAAUAUUGGACAAUGGGCGAAAGCCUGAUCCAGCCAUGCCGCGUGUGUGAAGAAGGCCUUCGGGUUGUAAAGCACUUUCAGUGGGGAAGAAAGCCUUGGGGCUAAUACCCUCGAGGAAGGACAUCACCCACAGAAGAAGCACCGGCUAACUCCGUGCCAGCAGCCGCGGUAAUACGGAGGGUGCGAGCGUUAAUCGGAAUUACUGGGCGUAAAGCGCGCGUAGGCGGUCUGAUAAGCCGGUUGUGAAAGCCCCGGGCUCAACCUGGGAACGGCAUCCGGAACUGUCCGGCUAGAGUGCAGGAGAGGAAGGUAGAAUUCCCGGUGUAGCGGUGAAAUGCGUAGAGAUCGGGAGGAAUACCAGUGGCGAAGGCGGCCUUCUGGACUGACACUGACGCUGAGGUGCGAAAGCGUGGGUAGCAAACAGGAUUAGAUACCCCAGUAGUC
rnacentral:rRNA from 1 species